rnacentral:rRNA from 1 species
UACAGAGGUGGCAAGCGUUGUUCGGAAUUACUGGGCGUAAAGGGCGCGUAGGCGGUCCGAUAAGUCCCGUGUGAAAUCCCUCGGCUCAACUGAGGAAUGGCACGGGAAACUGACGGGCUUGAGUUCGGGAGAGGGAAGCGGAAUUCCGGGUGUAGCGGUGAAAUGCGUAGAUAUCCGGAGGAACACCGGUGGCGAAGGCGGCUUCCUGGACCGACACCGACGCUGAGGCGCGAAAGCUAGGGGAGCAAACGGG